GACGAACGCUGGCGGCGUGCUUAACACAUGCAAGUCGAACGAUGAACCCGGAGCUUGCUCCGGUGGAUUAGUGGCGAACGGGUGAGUAACACGUGAGUAACCUGCCCUUUAGCCUGGGAUACCUACCGGAAACGGUAGCUAAUACCGGAUACUUUCGAUGUCCGCAUGGACGACGAACGAAAGACGGAGCAAUCUGUCACUGAAGGAUGGGCCUGCGGCGCAUGAGCUAGUUGGUGGGGUAACGGCUCACCAAGGCGACGAUGCGUAGCCGACCUGAGAGGGUGAUCGGCCACACUGGGACUGAGACACGGCCCAGACUCCUACGGGAGGCAGCGGUAGGGAAUCUUCCGCAAUGGGCGAGAGCCUGACGGAGCAACGCCGCGUGAGUGAUGAAGGUUUUCGGAUCGUAAAGCUCUGUUGCCAGGGAAGAACGUUUUCUAGAGUAACUGCUAGGAAAGUGACGGUACCUGAGAAGAAAGCCCCGGCUAACUACGUGCCAGCCGCCGCCGUAA
rnacentral:rRNA from 1 species